AUUAAGUUAGUUUGAGUUUAAAAUACUAGGGUGUGGACCUGGAGAGGAAACGAAGUUUCACUUAAUA
rnacentral:tRNA from 1 species